rnacentral:rRNA from 1 species
UUGCCAGCGGAGGCGCAGAUGUAAGCCUCUUGGAAAAGAGCACCAACGAGGGUGAUAGUCCCGUUUGUCAUCUGCAGCCCCCCGUGUACGGCGCAUGUUCUAAGAGUCGCGUUCCUCGGGAUUGGAGCGUAAAUGGGUGGUAAAUUUCAUCUGAAGCUAAAUAUUGGUUCGAGACCGAUAGCAAACAAGUACCAUGAGGGAAAGGUGAAAAGGACUUUGAAAAGAGAGUUAAAAGUGCCUGAAAUUGCUGAGAGGGAAGCGAAUGGAACCAGCUUUGCUUGGCGAGAUUGUUGCAUGCUAUAGCUAUGGCUUGCUAUGGUAACGCAAGUGCCCUAGCUUGCCACCAACUUGAUGCAUGCGGUGGUUCUUGCUUUGUGUGUCAGCUUUGGCGCAGACCUGAUGAAAACUGUAGGGUCAAGGUAGCUCGUCUCCGGGUGAGUGAAUGUCCCUGCAAGAAAUCACGUGUGCGCUUGAUAUGGCGUGCCUCUUUUGGUGAGCCACAAGAUUGAUGACAAAAUGGUUCCAUACGACCCGUCUUGAAACACGGACCAAGG